GACGAACGCUGGCGGCGUGCCUAAUACAUGCAAGUCGAGCGAAGUUUUUCUGGUGCUUGCACUAGAAGAACUUAGCGGCGAACGGGUGAGUAACACGUAAAGAACCUGCCUCAUAGACUGGGACAACUAUUGGAAACGAUAGCUAAUACCGGAUAACAGCAUUAACUGCAUGGUUGAUGUUUAAAAGUUGGUUUUGCUAACACUAUGAGAUGGCUUUGCGGUGCAUUAGCUAGUUGGUGGGGUAAAGGCCUACCAAGGCGACGAUGCAUAGCCGACCUGAGAGGGUGAUCGGCCACACUGGGACUGAGACACGGCCCAGACUCCUACGGGAGGCAGCAGUAGGGAAUCUUCCGCAAUGGGCGAAAGCCUGACGGAGCAACGCCGCGUGAGUGAAGAAGGAUUUCGGUUCGUAAAGCUCUGUUGUUAGGGAAGAAUGAUUGUGUAGUAACUAUACACAGUAGAGACG
rnacentral:rRNA from 1 species